GUACAAAAACCAGAGUAUAAACACUGGACCUAGAAGACUGGGAGUCAUAAAGCAGAUAUUAGCAGCAAAAUGAGACACCUUCAACGUCUCCUUCACAUCUCACCUGGUGGGCAGCAGCACAGCACCCUCAGGAGAGCAAAGCAUUUGAACAUGUUGGCACCAUCAUAUAUGUGAUAUAAGCACAUUACUCAAUGUGGUCCAGACUUCUCAGCAGUUUUAAGGCCUUUAAGAGCCUUCCAAAUAGAAACGUCAUGAAAGCAUCUGAUAGUGACACGGAUAUAAAAGUACCGCUGCUAUGAAUAAAAACCAUCAUUAUGAUUAAUAAAAACCAUCAUUAUGAUGAAAGCCCGAUGUGACAAAGUAGUUCUGAUAGGAAUUCAUGACUAACAGGUACUUAUAAUAACAUGUCUCAAAAUGAGAUACC
rnacentral:lncRNA from 1 species